rnacentral:rRNA from 1 species
UACGGGGGGGGCAAGCGUUGUUCGGAAUUACUGGGCGUAAAGGGCUCGUAGGCGGCCAACUAAGUCAGACGUGAAAUCCCCAGGCUCAACCUGGGAACUGCGUCUGAUACUGGAUGGCUUGAGUUUGGGAGAGGGACGCGGAAUUCCAGGUGUAGCGGUGAAAUGCGUAGAUAUCUGGAGGAACACCGGUGGCGAAGGCGGGUCUCUGGGCCGAUACUGACGCUGAGGAGCGAAAGCGUGGGGAGCGAACAGG